UUCCCCUCUCUCUUCUUCUCAGCUCAAUAUCUUCUGGACACUGAGGGAGAUGAGGAGAAAACAUGGCCCUGUGGAGGUUCCUCGGAGGAGGUAAUGCUGUUCCAGCAUGCAGUGCAAUCUUACCUGUGAACUUGAGACUUGCCUCUCAAGUGUAUGUAUCCUUAAUUAGAACCCAGGAUUCCUCAAUGUCCCCAUGGCAGUGGCCCUGAGUGGCCCUCCAGUCUCUAUUCUUUUCUUUUUUCCUGGGAUACAGCCCUUUGUAAUUGAUCUUAAUAAAAUACUACAUUUUUCCAUCUUCCCUAGUAGCUACGUGGGCCAUGUGGCUAUGUUCUGGCCAAUAAGAUAUAAGUGGAAAUAUUGUGGACAACAACUUCUGGGAUAUGUUCUUAGGAUAUGCUUUUCUCUUCUUCCAGUUGUCUGGAACACAGAUGUGAUAGUUGGCUCCCAAGCAGCCAUCAUGUACCCUGUCAAAAGAAGAGUGGAAUACCAAAAACUGAAGGAGCCUCAGUGUGUGAUAACUUACAUGCCAGUCCUGGAGUGUCUGUCUCCAGAUCUCAGGUGCGUGUGUGUGUGUGUCUGUGUCUGUGUCUGUGUGUGCGUGAGAGAGAGAGAGAAAGAGAGACAGAGAGAGGGAGAGAGAAAGAGAUAGAGAGAAAGGCUUUUUAGUUUAGUCUGUCAUAUGUUACAGAAACUAAUUUUAACAGAAAAACGCAUAAUUUGGCCAUAGCCCCAAAUGGUAGCAGGUAGAUACUCCGUGGAAGUAUGAAGCACUCCUGUACCUCCCAGAACACCUUCCCCUCCGAUCCCUAUUCUGGGGUCUCACGUCUCCCUUCCACAGCAGACCAGGACAAGCACAGUCUACUCCCUGCUUCCUGCCAUCUGACGUCCUCCGAAUCGCCUGCGUUCAGUGGAACAACUUCAGCUGUGAUGCAGCCCUCACCUUGCUCUCGAUGUUAGGACGCUGGUUGGGACAUCCAGAAGCCCACAGACCUUGUCCCGGGACCAGGAGGACAUUUGGUUUCCACAUAAUCCACGGAUUUCUCUGGCUGUCGUUUGUGCUGAAUUUAUCCAAAUUUGAAUUUAUUCAAAGCCAGCAAUCAGGCAUCCAGCAGAACCAGCUUUCUACUGGCAAGUACUGUACACUACGCCUCGCCUGGCCAGGGGUGAGGGGGUGGCUCUUGGGGCACAGGGGUGGCGAGUAUCAUCUCCGAGGUCAGAUGUACCAAAGGUGCCCUCAGGCCCAGCAGUCUCUCGCUGCCCAGCAGUGUCUGGCCGCCCCUGCUUUGCCUAACACCCAAAACAAGCCAGGCCAAGUCCGCUCUCAGCGAAAACUGAAAGGAAACUCUACUGCAGGCGUAGCCCGAAGUUUCUUUGAAGCAAGUUUGCAACUGAGAUUAUUGACGGCUUUGGGAGGACAGCGGGCUCAUGUGAGCGCUCUCCCGGUGGGGUGGGGUCUAAGAAGGGCACCGGGUGCCCUGUCGUGGCCCUAGGUGAAAACACUAGGGAAGCCCGCCGCUCCUUCGAAACUCUUCGGCUCUGGAUGGUAAAAAGAAAGAAAGUUUCCAAGCUACCACGGACAACCUGCAUGGAUCUCGCUAGGGGGGCAACGGGAGGGGGCUGGCUUUGGAAAAGUUGCUGAAAGCCCUGCUCAGAAACGUCACCCUAUGAAACUCAAAAAAACUUAGGACCAGUUUGCCUUCCUUGAGACAGAGUGGUCAGGAAUCAGGCUGGGCAGCCCUCUGCCCACUUCUCAACCCUCACCUCUAGCAAGAGGUCAAAGAACCACCACCGCCAGCGUUGCAAACUUUCAGCUCUGCGCUGCCAACCGCGAACAAGGCCUGGACACAGAGGGAUGGGAGAGACCACCCCCGGCAGGAUGGGAGGAUGAGCGCGGUUCCCCCUAGUUUGUUCCGGGCCCCAGAGUCCAUCCCCCAACCCUAGGCAUUCGGCGCUUUUCCCGGGAGCUGCGGAUUGGGGAGCCUGGUGAGGGGCGCAAAGUGCACGCGCGGACUGGCGCGGGGGCGGCUGCUCGUCAGGCUGCUCGUCUCGCCGCGGGGCCUGUCGCCGGGCUGGCCGCGGCGGGUGAGUGAUGAGGGCAGAGAAGGGCGCCCAUAAAUCGUGGGUGUCAGGGCGAAAAACUCUCUUUAUUGUCUGCGUGAUGGAUGGGCCCGGGGACGAGACACCAAAUACUUCGUAUCGCCUUUAAAUGGGAACACAUUUUCCGCGGCCAUAAUUCAUGUUUUUUAAAUAGAAAGUUUGAAAUGUUGCCUAUAUUUCACCGGCCCUGACAUAUUUAUGAAUCGCUCCUUGCAUGCAAAUAUCAUUAUUUAAAGUGCCAGGGAGAGCACGGGGGAGGGGGUAAGGCGCGGCCCCGGGGCGUAGGGGUGGUGAACCGGGGAGAUGUCGGUGGAGGGGGGACAUCUCCCUAAAGGGAAGAGGAUGGAGCGUGGGGGAAAGCCGUGUUUGGAAGCUGAGCGCACCCUGGGGCUUCUCUUCUGCCGCCAGACAGUGCGCUGCCACAGUAGGGUGGUGGGGAGCGCGGUUUGGGGUGCAAAACAAGCCCCAGUCUCCUGCCCCUAGACCAGAAGAUAUUUUGGGUCUCUCUCCAGAGGACUGGAUCCAAACUGAAGCCACCUUUUCCAAGAAGUAAAAAAAAAAAAAAAAAAAAAAAAAAAAAAAAGAAUAAUUUAACAAACGCAAAUAAUAACCCAACAUCUUUCAUGUUCUUUGCUAUUGCAUUGAUUUUAUUGAUUUUCAUUCUGCAAAACUGGGAUUGUGCGCACCCGGACCAGGCGGCAGCCAGAAACCAGUCACCGCAGGGGGUAGGUGGGGGGGAUAAGCCUCGGGUACCACCGCCCCAUCCGCCCCCACCCAGCCGCCUCAACGUCUCCCAGGCACAAUGGAGAUUGCGCAAGACGCGGGACACAGAUGACCCGGCCCCCCAGCUCCGGGGCUUUAGUCCCUCCCCUUCUUUGCCCCAGUGCACCGCAGAGCUUCCAGGGUCCGCAGCUACCCUCCCGGACCCCCUACGGUCAGAAUGAUCGCUUUGGAAAAAAAGCCAAGCCCAGGCCGUCGCUUAUUCCCAGUCAUCCUGCCCUGGAAGCGCCUACACCUGCGCCCUUACUUGCCAAGACUUUACCUGUGCGGUCCCGAGCCGCGCCUGCGGCCGCGCAGAUUACACAAAAAUGGUAGGGAGGGUGGGAGAGUGGGUGGGUCAGAGAGCAACACCCGAGAGGGCCAGAGGCGCGGACCCAGGUGAGUCAGUGUGGACCCGAUGCUGGGGCCCUGGCCCAACCGGUUAGCGGAGCCGAAUUGCACGGGGAAGAUCCGGCUCGAGGAAGGACGAAGGCAACAAGGCUGGGGAAGUAGGGGCGGUCCCAGAGGCACUUCCGCUGGAGGUGGGGCUGCGGACUGAACCGCUGA
rnacentral:lncRNA from 1 species